rnacentral:tRNA from 1 species
GGCGGGUUGACCGAGCGGCCAAUGGUAGCUGACUGUAAAUCAGCCGGGUUUCCCUACGGGGGUUCGAAUCCCUCACCCGCCA